rnacentral:tRNA from 1 species
AAAGGGAGACCUAAUUCGGGUAGGAGACGAAAAAAAAGUAGUCCCUAUCAAGAAUCAAUCCCAAAAGGUCGGAACGAGGUAUGUGGCUUUCAAACUAGGUUCUGGGUUCAUAAAAGACCUGAAUCAGGAACAAGGGCUAUUAGCUCAGGUGGUUAGAGCGCACCCCUGAUAAGGGUGAGGUCCCUGGUUCGAGUCCAGGAUGGCCCACCUGUACAGGUGGCAAAAAGAAAGAAAAGAAGCGAGGAAUCAGCACCUUAUCUUAUUUAUAUAGUAAGAGAGAAUGCUGGCUCUGAGUUCAGAGUCCAGAGGAACCUUGAAAACUGCAUAGAGCUAGGUGAAAAAGCCAAAAAAGAAGACCGCAAG